rnacentral:rRNA from 1 species
GCUGAAUGAUAGUCGGGCGUGAAGACUCUACCUUGACUAGCUGAGAGGAGGUGCAUGGCCAUCGUCAGUUCGUACUGUGAAGCAUCCUGUUAAGUCAGGCAACGAGCGAGACCCACGCCAACAGUUGCCAGCUCGUCCUCCGGGAUGGUGGGGACACUGUUGGGACCGCCUCUGCUAAAGAGGAGGAAGGAAUGGGCAACGGUAGGUCAGCAUGCCCCGAAUUAUCUGGGCUACACGCGGGCUACAAUGGGUGGGACAAUGGGUAUCGACACCGAAAGGUGAAGGCAAUCUCCUAAACCCAUCCGUAGUUCGGAUUGUGGGCUGCAACUCGCCCACAUGAAGCUGGAAUCUGUAGUAAUCGUGUCUCAAAAUGGCACGGUGAAUAUGUCCCUGCUCCUU